GAUGGCAGGUUAUGGAUAAAUCAUCAAACCUCAACAUCGAUCAUAUGAUAGAUUCAAUCAACUUAAGUCCAUAUGUGAUUCUAUGAAAACUCUUUUCCAUCAAUCACACUGCUAUGGUCAUAGACUUAAGGACUUAGCCUCUUAAAUCUCAUAGUACUACUCCCUUCUACUAGAGUCGAUAGAUCCUAUCUUGAUGCACACUCCACUCCUACAGUGGAUCAACUAUCACCAACAUCCACUACUAGGGCUUCUUGAGACCUAUGUUGAUGUGUCAGUCAAACUCCAGUAGCCUCACUACGAGCAGUAGUAUCAUCUCAAGUCAAAAGAUCAGUCAUACAACUACAG
rnacentral:lncRNA from 1 species